rnacentral:rRNA from 1 species
GCGGUUAUACAAAUAAUAUAAAUAAAAUAUUUUAGUAUUAAUUAAAGUUAUUUUAUUAGUAUUUAAUAAAAUUUAUUGGGUGAAAUUUAUAAAUUUUUAUAUUUACUAAAAAUAUUUUUGUUUAAGUUAUAAAAUUUUAAAUAUAAACUAGGAUUAGAUACCCUAUUAUUUAAAAUAAAUAGUUAAAUGCUAAGGUAGUAUUAGUUAUAUUCUUAAAACUUAAAGAAUUUGGCGGUAUUUUAGUCUUUUCAGAGGAACCUGUUCUAUAAUCGAUAGUCCACGUUUUAUUAAAUUUAUUUUAUUGGUUUGUAUAUCGUUGUUAUCAGAAUAUUUUUGGAAAUAGAUUUUCUUAAAUUUAUAUAAAAUUUUAUUUCAGAUCAAGGUGCAGCUUAUAAAUAAGAAGAAAUGGGUUACAAUAAAUAUAUUUAUUUAUGAAUAUUUAUUUGAAAUAAUAAAUUAAAGGUGGAUUUGAUAGUAAUUUAGUAUUUAAUAUAAUUAAAUGAUUUUAGCUCUAAAAUAUGCACAUAUCGCCCGUCGCUUUUGUUUUUAAAAUAAAAUAAGUCGUAACAUAGUAGAUGUAUUGGAAAAUGUAUCUAGUAAGAU